GUCCCAUCUGUAGUUUCAGUGUUCAAGUGAGAGGACACCCUGUCCUGGUACUCUAAACAAAGAUGACAGCAUAUUUCAGCAAAGCUUUGGGCCGGGCAAAGGUAGCUUUUCUUGGCCUUAUCUGCUUAACUAUUGUCUUCUUUCUAUAUUUUGCGCUUUCAGCUUCUUCGUGUCCACCUAUGUCCACAUUGGCUGAGAAAAAAACUUCUGAAGCCCCAGAGCCAACUGAAAAGCCCAUCGUCCUGCUGUGGACCUGGCCUUUUGGUGUACUGUUGGAUUUUAAAAUAUGCAAAACCUACUUCAACAUUGAUAGCUGCAUACUGACUAAUAACAGGUCAUUGUACAGCCAAGCAGAAGGAGUCAUUUUGUUCCAUAAAGACAUCUCCUGGGAUUUGAAGAACUUGCCUCAGGAUCCACGUCCGUAUUUUCAGAAGUGGAUUUGGUUCAAUGUGGAAUCUUCCAAGAACACGGCAAAGAUCCCAGGUUUGGAAAACCUGUUUAACUUAACACUGAGCUACAGACGAGAUGCUGACAUCACAGUUAGGAAUGAGGUGACAAUCAAGAAUACAGACACGCAGGAGGAAUUUGUUCUGCCCAAGAAAGACAAAUGUGUGUGUUGGAUUGUCAGUAACAAAAACCCAGCUACUGGAAUAGCUUUGAGAGAGAAAUAUUUCAGAGAGCUGUCCCGACACAUUAGGAUCAAUGUCUUUGGUAAUGAUUUUACAGAGCACUUUUUAGAAUUUGAAAAGUAUUACCCAACCCUUGCGACUUGUAAGUUUUAUCUCUCAUUUGAGAACUCGUGCAACAAAGACUACUUUGUUGAGCAGGUCAACUGGCCCCUCUUAGCGGGGGCGGUUCCUGUAGUUCUGGGACCACCAAGAGAAAACUAUGAGCAGUUCCUUCCCAAUGGUUCCUUCAUUCACGUAAAUGAUUUCCGUGAUGCUGAAGGACUGGCAAAGUUUCUGAAGCACCUGGACAAGGAUCAUGAAGCAUACAUGAGUUACUUUGAGUGGAGAAAGUACUACCAAGUCACUCCUCAUCUUUCGACACAAUCCAAGGAAUUCAUUCAACCUGUCUGCCUCGCCUGCGACCACAUCUCAAAAGACAAAGAAUACCAUGUUAUCAAUGAUCUUUAUGGGUGGUACUUUUCAUGAAAACUACAAAAACAAACUCUAGCUUCAUUCAUCCAUCAGAGAAAGGUUUAAUAUGUCUUCACUUGCUGACUGUUUAUGAUUUGUUCAGACGAUCCAGCGGAGCCAGUUGAGAUGACGACAAAGAUGCUUCAGACGUUAUGCUGAAACUAAAGUCCUAAACCACUUCAUCGUCUACCAUUCAGAGACAUUUCCUAUCCUCCCCUGCCCCUUGCCACAAAAGCCAGAUGGAAUAUUCAGGAUAUCUCAGCGGCUUGCUGUACACCUAUGGAACUACCACCCUGAGGAAAGUGGUGGAUGUAGCUGGUCCCAACUGAAAUCCAUUUCUGAUCCAUUUCCAGAAGUGGGAUUCGUUCUAAAUCUGCAACGGGCCUCAGGACCCUUAUUAUAUGGAACAGCUAAAGGAAAAACUAUCUAUAGACAAUAUGUAAAAACAAUAAACAAACUAAACAGGUGAGCGGACACUGUGUUGAGACUGAAACUGGAUGUGGACAGUGGAGUGAAACCAGUUUGGAGGGUUUUAGACAAAACUAUCUGGAAAAAAACUGCUAUUACUCCUUUUGUGUCUAAUGAGUUUCCAUUUUUUGGGGAACUGGAGACUUUUUUUUCACUGUUUUAAUGAAUAUAAAAGAUUGUAGUCUUUUUACUGCAAUGCCGUUUGUUUUUAAACAGUUUGGUGAAACAUGGUGUCAGACUACCUUCAUUUUAGGAGUCUGCCACAAAAAAGCUAACACCUCAAAGUUGCAGUUGCUCAACCUGAUUGUAAGACAAGCCGAAAUGUUGAUAUACAGCAGCAGAAAGAGCAGAGUGGAGGGAAGGACAGGGGAGGAAGCACCUCCUGUUUUCAUCUCCUUAGUCAAAGCCUAAGGAUAAUUUUAUUUAAAAAUGGUGCCAAAAGGAUGCAAUGUGUUGUGUGGCCGGAGACGACUUAAGGCUCAACAUUCCUUUAAGAAUCACCUGCAGGGCCCAAUUUCCAUUGACAAGCCAAACCAUCCCAACGCCAUUCAUCUGAGGAACCACGGUCUGCCUCUGUGUUACAGAUGAUAAUGUUUUAACUGCCAGGCCAUCAGACAUGGAUCAGAAAAUGCACACUUAAAAGACAUCACUGUAUAGGUAUUCCAAAAAAACAAAACCCAGCUUGAGUUAAAUUUUGAAUAUUAGUCUACAGAUUAAAGUGUGACCUGUUCUUUAUUAAUUGUAUCAUGUUGUUGCAUCCUCUUCUUCUGCAGUGGUUUAAGGCUGUGACUCGAGAAUGAGCACCACAUUCUUUUCAAACUUAAAAUAAGAUGUUAUUGGAAAAGAUCAAGAAUAAAAAAAAGAAAAAGAGCAUGAUGAAACUUAUUGAAAAAAAAUAAAAGAGGGAAUUAAA